rnacentral:rRNA from 1 species
AGCGAACGCUGGCGGCAGGCCUAACACAUGCAAGUCGAACGAACUCUUCGGAGUUAGUGGCGGACGGGUGAGUAACACGUGGAACGUGCCUUUAGGUUCGGAAUAACUCAGGGAAACUUGUGAUAAUACCGCAUGUGCCCUUCGGGGGAAAGAUUUAUCGCCUUUAGAGCGGCCCGCGUCUGAUUAGCUUGUUGGUGGGGUAAUGGCCCACCAAGGCGACGAUCAGUAGCUGGUCUGAGAGGAUGACCAGCCACAUUGGGACUGAGACACGGCCCAAACUCCCACGGGAGGCAGCAGUGGGGAAUCUUGCGCAAUGGGCGAAAGCCUGACGCAGCCAUGCCGCGUGGAUGAUGAAGGCCUUAGGAUUGUAAAAUCCUUUCACCGGUGAAGAUAAUGACUGUAGCCGGAGAAGAAGCCCCGGCUAACUUCGUGCCAGCAGCCGCCGUAACAC